rnacentral:lncRNA from 1 species
AUGUACACGCACAUACAGUUUACAUAUAUAUGUAUGUAUGAGUUUUAUUUUAAGGAAUUGGCCUACAUGAUUGUGGAGCCUGGAAAGUCCAAAGUCCGCAGGAUGGGCCGGGAGGCAGGAGACCUGGGGCCAGGAAGAAUUAAUGCUGCAGUUCAAGUCCUGAGGCCAUCAGCUCCUGGCACUGCACCUGCUGUAGACACGUUCGAAUUUCCUUACCAACCACUUCGAGUCCAUCUCAUGGCAACUCUAAACCAUUUCUGUGUAUCUCUGCUGUGCAGAGAAGGUAAGAAGCAGAUCAUUCUCAUCCCCAAAACAAGGUUUUAUUUUCUUAAAUUUCAAUUAAACUUCUUUUCAAUAUUUUGCUCAUUAGGCAAAGUGACAAGUGUGAUUUUCCAAAACUUUUUUCUUGCUACUCAUGGAAGCCAAUUUUAUAUUGUGGCAUAUGCACUGGGCCAAACACCUUUAAGGAAACUUAUUCAUAGGUGUAGAGGAUUCCUGUGGACCUCCUUAGGAGGCCAUGUGCUGUCUACCACAGGCAGAAAAAGUACUACAUGACACAGAACGUCCUAUUGUGCUAGGAAGUAAAGAAAUGCUCAAGAAAUGAUCAGGGCAUGCAAAAAAGGAUACCAUAAUCAGCUUGAAAGACUUUGUACUAGUUUUCUAGGGCUGCCAUAACAAAGUAUUGCAGCCUGAGUGACUUCAACAGCAGAAACUUGUGUGAGCACAGUUGAGGAAGCUGGAAGUCCAACAUCAAGGCAUCAACAGGAUCGACCACUCUUGCAGCCUCUCUCUAUAGCUUGCAGAUGGCUACCUUCUUUCUGUAUCUUCACACAACCUGCCUAUGUGAAUGCAUUGAGAGAAAAAGGAGAGAUAUUUGGUGUCUCUCUUCUUAUAAGGACACCAAUCCUGUUGGAUUAGGGCCCCAAACUUAUGACCAUAUUUAACCAUAAUUAUGUCUUUAAAGGCCCUAUCUUCUAUUAUAAAUCAUUCUACUAUAAAGACCCAUGCACACAUACAUUUAUUGUGGCACUGUUCACAAUAUCAAAGACUUGGGACCAACCCAAAUGCUCAUCAGUGAUACAGUGGAUAAAGGAAAUGUGGCACAUAUACACUGUGGAAUACUAUACAGCCAUAAAAAAGGCAGAGUUCAUGUCCUUUGCAGGGGCAUGGAUGAAGCUGGAAACCAUCAUUCUCAGCAAACUAACAUAAGAAUAGAAAACCAAACACCACAUGUUCUCACCCAUAAGUGGGAGUUGAACAAUGAGAACACAUGGACACAGGUAGAGGAACAUAACACAUCAGGGGCUGUUGGGGGUGGGGGAUAGGGGAGGGAUAGCAUUAGGAGAAAUACCUAAUAUAAAUGAUGGGUUAAUGGGUGCAGCAAACCACCAUGGCACAUGUAUACCUAUGUAAACUGCAUGUUCUGCACAUGUACCCCAGAACUUAAAAUAUAAUAAAAAUAAAAAAUUAAAAAAUAAUGAAGCCCUUAUCUUCAAAUGCAGUGACUAGGGCUUAGGGUUUCAACAUACACAUUCUGGGCAGGACAGAAUUCAGUCCUUAACAGGCCUCUGGAUCUGUACUGGGAUCCAGGUCCUACUGUGUGAGCAAAAGCAGGUCAAGAAAGCUCUCCGGACAUAGCAGGUGUAGGGAAGUCUGCGUGUGUAGUGCAGGGCAUCUGAGCAUCUGACAAUAGCACAUAGCUUUUAAUUCCACGUUGCUGGAGUGAUUGAAUGCAAGCACAUUCUGUUUGGACAAAUCUGUACCACUUUUCAGUUUCAACAUUUGACCUAUGUCUCCUAUUAGUUGUUUCAUGGGGAAAACAGAAUUUGAUGGCCCUGGAAUGUGUGAACCUACUUGGGUGUCUUGAUCCUGCAAAUAAGAGGCAACACUUUUGGGCUUCUUCAUGGCCUUUAUUAGAUAGUCAUAUAAUAUGACUUGACAUGGCAUAUAGUAGCCCUGUGCAUCACCACUCAAUCCAUCUUCACCACAGCCGGGGUACCUUCAUGUCCAACUGGUCAUGUUCUCAAUGCUCCCUCUCACCCCAAAACCCAACUUAAAGUGAUUCUCAUGGCUAUCCCAAAGGUAAACUGUAAGAUAAAUGGAGCAGAGAUUAUAAAGCAGAAGCACGGAAUCACUCAGAAAUAUGUUUUCUUGUCUAUCAUUCAUUCUUUCUUUCCUACUAUAAAAUAAAUGGAGAAAAAAAAUCUUCAAUAAUGAAAAAAAAUACAAUAUUUUUUGCAUUUCUUUGCAAUGUUUUCCAUAUGUCCAUUCCUGAAUACUACUUUCAAUCCCAGGGCAUAUGCAAUUCUAUAUUCUGCUUUUUAUCUCUAACCUUAGAGAAUUUAAUAUGGUGUGUGGCAGUUUUAAAACAUACCUGCAAAUUGUUUGUCACCCAUCUCAUGGAGGGGUGAUAUCUACGUCUCCUACCCAUGAAUCCGGGAUGACUUAGUGAGCACCUUAUAACCAAUAGAAUGCAGCAGAUGUGACACUGUUUUUAACUUUCAAAACUGGGUCAGAAAUGAUCAGACAGCUCUUGCCUGGUUCUUUUGGGAUAUUAGCUCCAGGGUAGACCAGCAGCAUGGAAGAAGGCCAAGUGUCCUGAGAGCGCUGUGCUGGAAAGCCCACAUGUAGACACUGAAGACAGCCCAGCUGAGCUCACAGCCAACAGCAGCAUCAGCUCUAAACCAUGCAUGUGAGCCAUCUUGGACAUCCAGGCUGGUCAAGUCAUCAGAUGUUUGCAGGCCCAGCUGACAUCUUCCUGCAACUGCAUGAGUAACCUCAAAUGAGAACGGCUCAGCUGAGCCCUUUUCAAGUUUGUGAUGCACAAAAUUAUGAGUAAAAUAAAAUGGUUGCUGUAGGGAACUACAUUUAAAGACAAAUUUUCACACGGUAAUAGUGACCAGAACGAACUGUGGUACCGGGAAAUGAGGGUCCACAAUAAUAGCAAUAUAAACCACAUGCCAUUGGUUUUGAGAAUAGGCAGCAGGUGAGGGCUGGAACGUAAGCUGAAAUCUGAUGGGGCUUGAGAAGUGCCAUAUGUCAGGCAGGGCUUAAAGGAAGGUGAGGGAAAUGUUACAAGAAGCUAAAGAGGAGGAGACCGUGUUUGCAUGGUAGUGGAAAGUUUACCAAAACUAUCACCUGCUGUAAUGUGGAAAAUAGAAAAUGUACUAAGGCAUGUGAUGAUCUACCUAAGAAAAUUUCCAAGCAGAGUGUUUAAGAUGCCAUCUGGCUUCUUAUAAUUGCCUAUGAUAAAAUGGAAGUAGAGAGAAUAAACAGAUAAACUUUAAAAACCAACAAUUUCAUUUUCAAAGGAAAUCUGAAAGAAAUACAGAGGGCUCAAGAGAAUAUUUUCAUUCAGCAAAGAAUUCUUAAAGGAAGAAAGGGCCUUAGGGAAAAAGACCAAACCCAGGGCUCUUUCAAGAAAACACCAUCAAAGGGUAAAAAUGAAGCCAGA